rnacentral:rRNA from 1 species
CAUGUAGGCGGACUGUUAAGUUAGAAGUGAAAGCCCCGGGCUCAACCCGGGAAGUGCUUUUAAAACUGGCAGUCUUGAAUACGGGAGAGGGUAGUGGAAUUCCAAGUGUAGAGGUGAAAUUCGUAGAUAUUUGGAGGAACACCGGUGGCGAAGGCGGCUACCUGGACCGAUAUUGACGCUGAGAUGCGAAAGCGUGGGGAGCAAACA